rnacentral:rRNA from 1 species
AUGAACGCUGGCGGCGUGCCUAAUCCCUGCAAGUCGCGCGAACAGACGAGGAGCUUGCUCCUCUGACGUUAGCGGCGGACGGGUGAGUAACACGUGGAUAACCUACCUAUAAGACUGGGAUAACUUCGGGAAACCGGAGCUAAUACCGGAUAAUAUAUUGAACCGCCUGGUUCAAUAGUGAAAGACGGUUUUGCUGUCACUUAUAGAUGGAUCCGCGCCGCAUUAGCUAGUUGGUAAGGUAACGGCUUACCAAGGCAACGAUGCGUAGCCGACCUGAGAGGGUGAUCGGCCACACUGGAACUGAGACACGGUCCAGACUCCUACGGGAGGCAGCAGUAGGGAAUCUUCCGCAAUGGGCGAAAGCCUGACGGAGCAACGCCGCGUGAGUGAUGAAGGUCUUCGGAUCGUAAAACUCUGUUAUUAGGGAAGAACAAAUGUGUAAGUAACUAUGCACGUCUUGACGGUACCUAAUCAGAAAGCCACGGCUAACUACGUG